rnacentral:rRNA from 1 species
CGUGUAGGCGGUUCGGCAAGUCAGAGGUGAAAUGUCCCGGCUCAACCGGGGACCUGCCUUUGAAACUGCCGGACUUGAGGCCGUGAGAGGAGACUGGAAUUCCUAGUGUAGCGGUGAAAUGCAUAGAUAUUAGGAAGAACACCAGUGGCGAAGGCGAGUCUCUGGCACGGUUCUGACGCUGAGGCGCGAAAGCUAGGGGAGCGAACG